GCGGGUGUAACUCAAUGGCAGAGUUCCAGCCUUCCAAGCUGGAUACGUGGGUUCGAUUCCCAUCACCCGCUCCA
rnacentral:tRNA from 2 species